rnacentral:rRNA from 1 species
UACGUAGGUGGCAAGCGUUGUCCGGAUUUACUGGGUGUAAAGGGCGUGUAGCCGGGCUUACAAGUCAGAUGUGAAAUCCGGGGGCUCAACCCCCGAACUGCAUUUGAAACUGUAGGUCUUGAGUAUCGGAGAGGCAGGCGGAAUUCCUAGUGUAGCGGUGAAAUGCGUAGAUAUUAGGAGGAACGCCAGUGGCGAAGGCGGCCUGCUGGACGACAACUGACGGUGAGGCGCGAAAGCGUGGGGAGCAAACAGG